rnacentral:rRNA from 1 species
CCUACGGGUGACAGCAGUGAGGAAUAUUGGUCAAUGGGCGCGAGCCUGAACCAGCCAAGUCGCGUGAGGGAAGACGGUCCUAUGGAUUGUAAACCUCUUUUGUCGGGGAGCAAAAGACGCCACGCGUGGCGUUCCGAGAGUACCCGAAGAAAAAGCAUCGGCUAACUCCGUGCCAGCAGCCGCGGUAAUACGGAGGAUGCGAGCGUUAUCCGGAUUUCUUGGGUUUAACGGGUGCGCAGGCGGAAGAUCAAGUCAGCGGGAAAAUUGAGAGGCUCAACCUUAUCGAGCCGUUGAAACUGGUUUUCUUGAGUGAGUGAGAAGUAUGCGGAAUGCGUGGUGUAGCGGUGAAAUGCAUAGAUAUCACGCAGAACUCCGAUUGCGAAGGCAGCAUACCGGCGCUCAACUGACGCUCAUGCACGAAAGUGUGGGUAUCGAACAGGAUUAGAUACCCCUGUAGUC